AUUGAACGCUGGCGGCAGGCCUAACACAUGCAAGUCGAACGAGUGGCGGACUGGUGAGUAAUGUCUGGGAAACUGCCUGCUGGACGGGGAUAACUACCGUAAACCGUAGCUAAUACUGCACACCAUCAUAUGUGCCCUGAUGGGAUUAGCUUGUUGGUGGGUUAACGGCUAACCAAGGCGACAAUCCCUAGCUGGUCUGAGAGGAUGACCAGCCACACUGGAACUGAGACACGGUCCAGACUCCUACGGGAGGCAGCAGUGGGGAAUAUUGCACAAUGGGAGCAAGCCUGAUGCAGCCAUGCCGCGUGAAUGAAGAAGGCCUUCGGGUUGUAAAGUACUUUCAGCGGUGAGGCGUUACCCGCAGAAGAAGCACCGGCUAACUCCGUGCCAGCAGCCGCGGUAAUAC
rnacentral:rRNA from 1 species